GACAGAGGGUGCAAACGUUGUUCGGAAUUACUGGGCGUAAAGCGCGUGUAGGCGGCUUGGCAAGUCGGGUGUGAAAGCCCUGGGCUCAACCUAGGAAGUGCACUCGAAACUGCCUCGCUGGAGUGCCGGAGAGGAAAGCGGAAUUCUCGGUGUAGAGGUGAAAUUCGUAGAUAUCGAGAGGAACACCGGUGGCGAAGGCGGCUUUCUGGACGGUUACUGACGCUGAGACGCGAAAGCGUGGGGAGCGAACAGG
rnacentral:rRNA from 1 species